AUCAGAUCAUGUAACUGACGGAAGUGGGGGUACCCACAGGGAGCAUGAUCGCAGUGAGCCGACCGUCUGGGCGAAAAGG
rnacentral:ncRNA from 2 species